rnacentral:rRNA from 1 species
AAAGUUUGAUCCUGGCUCAGGACGAACGCUGGCGGCGUGCUUAACACAUGCAAGUCGAACGAGAAUCUGCGGAACGAGGAUUCGUCCAAGUGAAGCAGAGGACAGUGGCGGACGGGUGAAUAACGCGUGAGGAACCUGCCUUUCAGAGGGGGACAACAGUUGGAAACGACUGCUAAUACCGCAUGACACAUAGAUGUCGCAUGGCAUUUAUGUCAAAGAUUUAUCGCUGAAAGAUGG